GAUGAACGCUAGCGGCAGGCCUAACACAUGCAAGUCGAGGGAGAGGUUACCUUCGGGUAACCAACACCGGCGCACGGGUGCGUAACGCGUAUAUAAUCUGCCUUUCACAUAGGGAUAGCCCGAAGAAAUUUGGAUUAAUACCUAAUGGUAUAUAAUAGCGGCAUCGUUUUUAUAUUAAAGCUACGGUGGUGAAAGAUGAGUAUGCGUUCUAUUAGCUAGGUGGAGAGGUAACGGCUCCCCAAGGCGACGAUAGAUAGGGGUUCUGAGAGGGAUGUCCCCCACAUGGGUACUGGGAUACGGACCAGGGUACUACGAGAGGCAGCAGUGAGGAAUAGUGGGCAGUGGUCGGAAGUCUUAUCCAGCCAUGCCGAGUGCAGGACGAAGGUCCUAUGGAUUGUAAGCUGGUUUUGUAAGGGAAGAAUAAGGAGUACGUGUACGUUAAUGACAGUACCUGACGAAUAAGCAUCGGCUAACUCCGUG
rnacentral:rRNA from 1 species